rnacentral:sRNA from 1 species
GGAUGGCUUCAUAGCCGUGAUCUGGUGGUCGCCGGCUCGCCGAUCUCUGCUCCCGCGGCGGCGCCAUUGCUAGCGCCCCGUCGGCCGGCACCCUCCUCUCCGCCUCCGCCCCCACGCUCCGAAUCCAUGGAUGGCUACCACCGCACACUCCGCCCCCCGCACUCCAGCCGCCCUCCGCGCUCUUGCCCUUCCCCCCACCGGAGAAGGCGGCAACACUGCAAGCUAGGUAGCAGCGACGACCUUGCUACCGGCUCGCCUCAUCAGCCAUAGCGGCAGCCUCCCGAUCCCCCCAGGGUGAGCAUCCGAUCUUCGAUUUAAAUUAUUAUCACGGAUGAACGGCGACUGCCUGAUAGCUUCUUCAGUGAACUGAUAUUUCUCUUUAUAAAGCCGAACAGUUUCUGCAUGAGCAAGUAGUUGGUGAUGGCAUGCAGUGUAAGGCUCCCUUCCUGAAUCUCCAACUCUGCAUUUUCCCUUCUCCCAGGAUGAACACCGGCCUGGUGCCAUGGUGCCAGAUGCAUAGCCCAUAGAGCAGAAGUUCCAAGGCUCAUUGAAGUAGCUGAAAAGACUAUCACAAGGGAGCACUAUUGAGGCUGGUGUCAGUGGAAACAGGGGUUAAAUCCUGUCCAAAGCAAAACCCGUCCUGACUCCCUUUCCAAAAAUAGCAGUAAACAAUAUUCGCGACAAAAAUCGGAAAGAGAACUCCAAAAGCUGUUGGCAUUGAAAUUUCGGGUAUUCUAAUUGAUAUGCAUGAUGACGUUGACAAUAUUUUUAACUGAAGUAGGUAGCACGGUCCCUAGUAUUUUGAAGUUAGUGUUUAUUUAACAUGGUCAGCAAAAGGUACUGAAGAAUUGUUGACUUACAUGAUAUUAGGGCUAAGAAAUCCUUUAUAUUUAUCUUCCAGUGCCUGAGGUGUAUCAAAAUGGAAUAGGGUAGCAAAUGGUUGGACCUCUGCAAAUGUAUAAGAUUAUUUUGCAUCUUGAAUAAAGAAAUCUGGUUGUCAC